rnacentral:lncRNA from 1 species
UAUUACUAGUAUCUGACCUGCACAGUCAACAGGUCCCCCGGGGCGAUGUUCUCCGGCACGUGAACACUGUACUGCUCGGAGCCGUCCAGUGCGAACGAGUCGGCGGACUGCCCGGGCAACAACUGCAGCGGGAUGAUGCCCAUGCCUACUGGGCUUGCCCGGGCAAGGUUAUUACAGACUACAGACUAGUCAUUAACCUACUUAACGCACCCGGAUAAAAUUACUGUAAUAACUCGUCUAUAGAUAGAGUGUAGUUUCGGAGCCUUUAGUGUAUAAACAAACAAAAAAAUGUACUCUUUUGUUAUAUUGGUAUAGAUAUUUUAUCCAGAUGCUGGAAAUAGUUACUUUAUAACGCGAGAAAAAGCUAGUAUAGUUAUCGGCACGAAUCUUGAGCUCUGACCUACAUAUGCGCUGAAGUGAUUUAUUAGCAAAGAACCAAUCCCGAGUGACGGCUAUGACGCGAUGCACUGCGGACCAAUCACCGCUUUAGCCCCCGCGCCUCACUUCAUACCACAAAAGGGACCCAAUAAAUUACUUCUGCACAGGUGAAGGUCAGAGCUCAAGAUUCGUGCCGAUAA